AAAGAAGUAUGGAAGGCAGGGGUAGCAAGGCGGAGCUGUGCCCUGUCACGGCACACAGAGAAUGCCCAUGGAUUUUCACAAAUGCUGUUAAAAUGUGAAAAGAAGGUGUUUCUUUUUUCUUCAAUCUGAGCUUCAAGCUAAUAUGGGCAUUCAGCUAAAUCCCUCCUGGGUCCUGAAACAGUAUGUGGUUUUGGAUUUCAAAGGUAAUCCCUACAACUUCUGGGAGAGGUGCAAGUAUCAACCAGUUGGAGACACAGGGAAAGGGUGAUAUAAUGCAGAAAGUGACUUGAACAAAUUUACACAGAAGGCAGUGAAGUGUGAUUCAAAUUCAAGCAGUCUAGACUGUGCCCCACACAACUCUGCAGCAUAACCUUGCAGUAUGAAAAUAAUGCCUCUCAUGCAGGUCAGGGAUAUGAGAUCCAGUGACUUACCCAAAGUUUCAAAGGAAAGAUGUAACAGAGCCAUCUCUGAACUUCUGCUCUUGGGAAUCUACACACUCUUUCCACUAGUUCUGACCUUAGCAGGUGUUUGACCCAGGACUUGCCCAACUUGGUUUCCAUUUGUAUAGAACUAAUGCCAAAUUUCAAAAGAAAAUAUUACAUACCAUAAUCAAUAAAAACAAAAUAUCAAACAUGUACAAGUCUGACAGGAAAACCACUGCUGCUUCUGCUGCCAAUUUGUUAAGCAUCGUGACAAGAGGAGUGACCGAGAAGAUGGAAAAGCCCGGUCUGCCUAGUGCCCCUUCAGUUGGCAGGAUUGCUGGCACAGGGCCGUCUAACUGUGCUGGAAGGUGUUUUAGAAGGGACAAGGGGCACUUUGGGGAGAGGAGUCACGGAUCUCCUGGCUUGGCCAUGAUUCAGCUUUUGGAGAUUUCAUUUAGAAUCUGUGAUCUUUCCCAUAUUCUUCCUAAAAGGGAUUGCCCUUCCUGGCCCCUGCAAUAUAGCAAGGAUGGAUUUUCAACAAAGCAAAUAAAGGACUGAUUUUCACAAGAUCUGAACCCCGAGGAGCAGAUUGUCAACCUUUCUUCUCUGCUGAGGACAAAGACAAGAUCACAGACCAUUUUCAAAACUUCCAUGUUUCCAGAGGCUCCCUGUAAAGACUACAAUCCUUUCUCUAGGGGUUCACACAGUGUUUUCUACUCAAGAGUCACAGGGGAGUUUAAAAACAUGCAUAUUCCCGAGUUCAACUCUUCGAUUUUAAUUUUGCAGUUGGUGGUAGAGUUCAGGAUUUCUCCUUCCUGCCAUCAUGUGAAGAUGGAUGUGUUUGCUUUCCCUUCAGCCAUAAUUAUAAGUUUCCUGAGGCCUCCCUAGCCCUGCAGAACUGGUUAUCAAAAGCAAGGAAAGUUUGAGAAGCUUUCACAGCCAAGAAGAGCCUGAAGAGACAUGAUAAACAAAUAAAAUGGUGAAUCCUGGAUGCAGCCCUGGAAAAACAACAAAGCGACCUCAGGUUAUGUCUUCUUUUAUAAGACUACCCACUGCCUCUUCUCAAGUAUAUCUGAAGUAUGGCUGGUUGGAGUAUAUCAGGACCCUCAGAGGAGAAAAGCAUAUAAAACCAGCACACCUGAACCCAGG
rnacentral:lncRNA from 1 species